rnacentral:rRNA from 1 species
UACGUAGGGCGCAAGCGUUGUCCGGAAUUAUUGGGCGUAAAGAGCUCGUAGGCGGUUUGUCGCGUCUGCUGUGAAAACCUAAGGCUCAACCUUGGGCUUGCAGUGGGUACGGGCAGACUAGAGUGCGGUAGGGGUGACUGGAAUUCCUGGUGUAGCGGUGGAAUGCGCAGAUAUCAGGAGGAACACCGGUGGCGAAGGCGGGGUCUCUGGGGCCGAUACUGACGCUGAGGAGCGAAAGCGUGGGGAGCGAACAGG